AGGUCAGGGUGGGGAGUGUUUUAUAAAUAUGAGAAGUUUGGAGGAUAUUUAAAUACUGAAGGAAGUGACAGAUUGAGUGGAAGGGGUCGAAAGAAGGCCAGAUGGAGGCUAUUGAGAAGGCUGGAGAGGCUGAGAUUCAGAGCACACUAGAGCAAUCGCUCUGAUGGCAGGAGGAGGGCGCUUCUGCUGCUACAGGAAGGAAGGAGGAGAGAAUGGGUGUGGAUGCUGGUACGUUUGUGGGUUUAGGGGCAAGAAUUUGAGAGCGUUCCUGUCUAGUGACUCUCAUUUUCUCUGCGAGGGAAAAAGAGAAUAGCGGGGAUCUUUUUCGACACACCCAUUGUGAAAGCUCAAAAUCCGUAUUGAAGAGGAAGUUUUAAAAAGCUUUUGUGAAGUUGAGAGAGAGAAAAAGUUCUUAAAAUGUAUUUUAAAAAACAAAUUCAGACAAAUGUAAUUCAUGGUCAAGACAGAGUAUGAAAGUAAGAGACUCAUGAAAAUUCUGCUUAUAACAAUUGAUGGUGGGUGUACUAAAAAUAUUAAUUUAAACUAAAAUUGUAUGUCUUAUUCUAAUAAACAUUUUAUGAUCAAGUCUAAUGGUUAGACAAAUCGAAACAAUUCACCUUACACAUCCAGAUUUAAUGUUUUUUCUCUGAGCAGUUGACUGAAUACAUAAUCACUAAUUGCAGUAGGAUUAUAUUAAAAUCAGAUGGCUUAAACUUUCUAGAACUGGAUGAUUAACACAAUAACCUGAACUUAAUUAGGUAUUCAUAUUAAAUGCUGGCAAUAAGCAAGUGUUUCCUUUGAUAUCCACUUUAAGUGCAUACUGAAAUCACAGCAUGGCACCAUAAGAAUAUACACAGAGUCAAUGGAGUUUGAAGAAAUUAGACAGAAUAAAUGAGUCACACUUUUAUUCAUAUGGAGCCCAUCCUGGGGUAGAGAUGAGGGCAUAGGGAGGCAGCACAAAUCUGUUGCUUCCUUGUCUUAACAUCAUUAUGCAGAAUCCAGUGUUCUGAGCAGUAGUUAAUCCUCCUAACUGGAGCUGAGAUCUUUACUGUUGUGUCAUGUUUGACAGGAGGAAGCACUUGUCCUCUAGAAAGGACCUAUAAGGCAUUAGGAGGGCUUCUCAACAGCAGGAACCAAAGUUCCCUUUGUUAUAACUCAACCUACAAUUUUCUCUAUUUCCAACCCAGGUACAUAGACUGGAAAAUUCCCCAAGUAAUCGUUAUAAUACUCCUUCAGAUCCUAGCUCCUUGGGCAUCUUGUCCGCAAAAAUUCCCUCAUAUUAUUUGUGCUCCACAGCAAGGUUGGAAGAUUAACUUGAAAGCCACAGUUGUACAAGGACACAGAAUCUCCCCUGCCCCAUUCCAAAUAAAUUAUAAGGACUUCAGCUUUGGUGAAGCAGUCUUGGAAGCCAUACAUACAUGAGUCCUACUGCAGCAAAAGUGCCAGGAACUGCUGCCAUCAGUUCCAUGUCCCUUGGUCACACUGGAGCAAGUUAUACAGAGCAGGAGAGGAAACAAACGUUUAUUCCCUUCCUCUUGCAGCAACUCAUAGGUACCUUGAACACCAGAGUCCAAUAUUGGCUAUACCAGGCCAUGUGAUAUUUUGACCAUCCCCCUCAUCCUUUCUGGCUCUUUCAGGCUAGGACCAAAAGGCUGUACAGCUAAUGGUGUUGAAGGGCCCAGGAGUGACCACCAAGGAAGCCAUGCUCAUAUGCUUCCUUCCUCCCUCCUUCUCCCUGUCUUGUUAAAAUCUAGUGAAGUAUAUUCAUCUUCCUGAAAGGCUUUCCAAUCAGCCCUGCCUACUCCUGUUGUCUCAGUCUCCUGUCCUACAUGUAGGUAAUUACUCAGAAAGCCCAGGCUUGCCCUUGCUUGGUGCAUGUUAGGGAUGUUUUGUAUGUGUUGUGAUGAGGUAUUCCAGGGAAAGAUAACCACCUGGGCAGCUCUCUUUUCUCUUUACUUGUUUCCUAGGAUGCCUGUUCCUGGUUCGGCACAGUGCGGGCUCAGACAACGCUGUUCACAAUUGGACUGUUUAUUUGCAAUAAGGGAGAGACGUGGCCUCAUAAACCACAGAAACUGAGCAACACUGCCCCAAAAGUUCUCUGCCUCUGCCGUCGUCCCUCCCCACCCACGCACGCACCACCACCUCCCUGGAGAAGGGGGACCGGCUCCGUUUCCGUCCUGAGAGCCGAACGUCAGUGCCCAGCGUUUACACAGCAAGGAACAGCCCCUGUACUCGGGCAGGGGGCCGGCUCCUCUUACGACUGUGUCUUCCACUCAUUCAGCUCUGAGCCCUUCCACCCCUUCUCUUUAGCAGAGUGAACACCAACCAGUCACAUCGACCUAGAAGCACCUCAUUUACUUUAACAGCAAAUAAGAGAUCCUUUGAGAGGAAAGAACUCAGUCACCUUCCUUCACGGGUCUUUAAAACAUGAUCGUGGUAAUGAUAAAGAGAGCAACAACCUCCUCCCUCCGCCACUUACUAUUAAAUGAAUUAAUAUAUGUAAAGUGCUUCUUAAUGCUUGAUAUGUAUUAAAUGGGCAAUAUAUGUUAAAUAUUAGCUAUUAUUAUUAUCGUCAUUAUCAUGUAUUAAGCACAUACUAAGUAUCAGGGCACUAUGCUAAAUCCUUUCCAGACAUAAUCUCAUUUAAUCAUUGUAAAAACUCCGUGGGAUUGCAGAUAUUUCACACCCAGUUUACAGCUGAG
rnacentral:lncRNA from 1 species